rnacentral:rRNA from 1 species
UACGAAGGGGGCUAGCGUUGCUCGGAAUUACUGGGCGUAAAGCGCGCGUAGGCGGGUCGUUAAGUCGGGGGUGAAAUCCUGGAGCUCAACUCCAGAACUGCCUUCGAUACUGGCGAUCUUGAGUCCGGGAGAGGUGAGUGGAACUCCGAGUGUAGAGGUGAAAUUCGUAGAUAUUCGGAAGAACACCAGUGGCGAAGGCGGCUCACUGGCCCGGUACUGACGCUGAGGUGCGAAAGCGUGGGGAGCGAACAGG